rnacentral:rRNA from 2 species
GUUCGUCUGUCUGAGGGUCGG